UCCAAACAUCGGGUACCAUUGCUAGAUGGUCACUUCGAUUAGUACAGGAAUUGGUUCCUGUGCUACCGACUUAGGUUCGAACCUGCGGGGUCACACACAUUAGAGGUUCCUAUCUGAUCUGAUGGCUGAUGAAGAGUCCUAAUGCUAGUAGACUUUGAGUCCUACGUGUCUAGAACUCUGUGAUUGAGAAUCAGGAUUCUCUAAUCACGAGUUCCACAUAU
rnacentral:lncRNA from 1 species